rnacentral:lncRNA from 10 species
GAGCUGUGCCCCACGCUCCCGCUGCAACAGUCCCGGGCAUCGCAGCUGCCAGUCAAGGCUAGGAGGCGGUCGGGGACUCCGCCUCCUCCCGACCCGUAGGUCUGGGAGCGCAAGUCCUGUUGCAGUCUUGCAAAGUGUAAAGCUGUCAGCCGCAGAGCACGGAGGAAAGACGGAGAGAAUGGAAGAGCUCCUGUCCGGUGUGCCAGCAGCCCGGACUGGCGGUGAGCGCGAGGGAGGCUACUGAGAAGCCCGGCGACGGAGGAACGCAGGUCUGCUGCCAGGGAUUGAGGAGACUGAAGAAUGCUGAAGACAGGCUGAUGGGCUCAGCUGGUAGGCUCCACUAUCUCGCCAUGACUGCUGAAAAUCCCACUCCUGGAGACCUGGCUCCGGCCCCCCUCAUCACUUGCAAACUCUGCCUGUGUGAGCAGUCUCUGGACAAGAUGACCACACUCCAGGAAUGCCAGUGCAUCUUUUGCACAGCUGUGAAAAAGAACAAAAACUUUUAAAAAGAUGGAAAAAAUUGUACAACAGUUUGUUAUGAAACAAGAUAAAGAUUUUUACAACAAAUACCUGUAGAGUUAUCCCUUGGUAUCUUCAGGAUAUUGGUUCCAAGCCCCUUCCCACUCCCCACCCCAAAGAUACCCAAAUUCAUGAAUGCUCAAGUCCCUUAUAUAGAAUGGUGUAGUAUUUGCAUGUAACCUAUGUACAUCCUCCCAUAUACUUUAAAUCAUCUUUAGGUAACUUAUAAUAUCUAAUACAAUGUAAAUCUAUAUAAAUGGGUUUUCUACUGUAUUUUUUGUGUAUUUCUUAUUGUGAUUUUAAAAAUAUAUUUUCUGUCCGUGGUUGGUUGAAUCCAUGGAUGUGAAAUCUGAGGACGGGGGGCUGACCGUAUACCAACUAUCUCUUAGAUUGUGCCUAAGUCCUUUUGUGUUGAUAUAACAAAAUACGCGAGACUAGGUAAUUUAUCAACAACAGAAAUCCACUACUCAUAGUUCUGAAGGCUGGAAAGUCCAAUAUCAACGUGCUGGCAGGAUUGGUGUCCCGUGAUGGCGGCUCUCUGCUUCCAAGAUGGCGUCUUACUGUUGCUUCCUCUGGAGGGGAGAAAUUCUGUGUCCUCACGUGACAGAAGAGAUGGAAGGGCAAGAGAGCACUCCCUUUAACCUUGAGCCCUUUCAUAAGGGUGCCAGUUCCAUUCAUGAGAGUGGGGUCUUCGUGACUUAAUCACCUCCCGUGGGGGUUCAGUUUUAACGUAAAUUUUGAAGGGGACACCAUCAUUCAAAUCAUAGCGGAUUCUAACAUUAACUUUUUGCUUGCUUUAUCACAUAUCUCUCCGUCUGUUUAGCCUGCUGUCCUUUGCAUGGUGUAGUUUAAUAUUCAUUCUGCAUUCUCUAGUGGAAUGUGAGUACUCAAUGUGUUUGCUUAGAUUGGGUUGAAUGGUUAUAUUUUAUUCAGGUGACUAGCAUAGCCGUACCUCAUGGUUGAAGGGGUUUCUUGAACCUUUACUAACUUGGGUUUUGUUUUUUUUUUCUGUGUUGCUGGGACCUUAAGUGCACUUUUAGAGAUUCAGAAGCGCUAACAGUUCAAGCAGAGACUCUAAUAGUAGGAGGAAGAAUGAAAUGACAAAUGAAUUCAGUGGAAUCUGGCUAUGCUGAAUCCGUGGUGAGAACACCUUAUAUGAAGAAUGCCUGUGACUUUGGUACAUCGGAAUCUGAUACCCUUGAAAGGGGUCUAGGAGACACCUGUUUCUGAGUAGAUUCCAUUGCAUACAAUUCAUAGACUCUCAGAGUUGGAAGAGACAAUAUGAGUCGUCUGGUUCACCAGGUGUUUGGUUACAUUUUUGGUUAGAUCCCAUAUGAAUCCUUAAAGGUUGUGGAGUGAGUUUGACGAACAAUCCUUAUUAUUUUGCAUGACCCUUCAUGGCCUAAAAAUAAUUCUGUGUUUUACCAAACUAAGUAAAAUGUUGACUAUACAAAAGAAAAAGGUUUUUUUCCCUUGGGUCAUUUGGGUUUUGAGAUGUUCUAUUUGAAACAUUUUCCUUACAAUUUGUUACCUGUUAAGAAAAUUGCUUAUUUAAAUAUCUGUUGAAUGCUACUUAAUAAAUGUAACUUUCAAAAUGUGACUAAAUGGUGGUAGUUUUCUUUGUUAAUAGUGAUUAUUUUAUUUUGCCAUUGUUGCAUUGCUAUAAUUUGUUUUCAUUUUCUUUGUUUCUCUCUUUAUAAGCUAGAUGCCAGUUUUCCCCCCUAGAAUUGUUAACCAUUUACCUGUGUUUUGUAUGACAUGCACAUGGGAUUCAUGUGAACGUUUUCACUUAUUUUGCACUUUUUAGCCAGAGAUACAGAAGAAGAGAGGGACACUCGAGAUUAAAUGUUUUAGUGAAAGUUAAUGGGCAGCAUAUAACAAGCCUGGGGUACUUGAAAAUUCAGUAAAAAGCAAUAACUAGGGCUGGUUGUUUUCCCUCUUUGCCUUUGAAUAGAAAUGCAUGCCCACACUGAUGGAAUGUCAAGUGCCUGUGCUGUAGGACUACUUAGCAACCUGCCCUUACAAAUCUCUAUCUUGAACCAGUGUUUCUUAGCAUUAAAAACAAAGGGUAUGUGUACUUAAACCCUGGAGUCAGUGUACAGAGGUCUAACUUCUCACCCAAAAUCGUGGGUCAUAUAAUAUUGUGGCCAGGAGAGUGCUUAUAGGAAGUUUCAAAAUUCAUUUAGUUGAUAUAUUGUGGUUUGUAGUGUACCUAGGAACAUUACAUUAUUAGUAAGAGGCACAUCCAUUAUAAGCUCUUGGGAAGGUGUAUAUUUCAACUUAACACAUUUGCAGUUAUAUUUGAAAUGAAUGUGUUUGCCUAUAAGGACUCACUUAGUAUCUUUAGUUCCUAUUUAAUGCUAAACUUAUUCUGUAGACCCAAAUAUUUCUAAGAGCCUUGCAUAGAGGCACCUGGGAUAUUCUGUUACAAAUAUCUGUUCUGUCUACACAGCUUCUCCACCUUAAGUGGUUUAACUGGUGCUUUGCAGGGAGUGGAGAAAGGAUAUCUCAGAAGGUCAAAGGAUUAACAUUUUCCCACAAAGUCUUUGAUGGAAAGUCUAAGACCAGGAGAAGAGGAGUAAUAACAUGACCUAUUAUUCUGUAAUUUGCAAAUUCAUGAAGGGCUUCCAUAUAUAAAUUUCACGUGUAUGUGUGUAUGUGUGGGUGUGUGUGUGUGUGUGUUAAAACCUGUGAGGUAACUAUAACAGGUAUUAUUGUCCCUACUUUUUAAAUUAAGGAAAGCAAGUCUAGGUCAUAGGCUAAGUCAUUUUCCCAUUGUCACCUAGUAAAGUGGACCCUCCACCCAGGUGUUAGGAUCUGAAGUUCUUUGCAUUGUUCACUUUGUUUUCCUCAAACACCUUCCCCUUGAGCCUGGAGACUAUAUCUUUCAGUCUUUUUACUUAAAUUUCUUUAAGUGGCUGCUGGGGGUCAGUGGGAAGAUCAAGGCAGUAACAAUGGAACAGGUGUGGCUGAUGGAAGGCUGAGAUGUCCUCAGCAGCAG